GCGGGUAUGGUUCAGUGGUAGAAUGCGACCUUCCCAAGGUUGAGACACGGGUUCGAUUCCCGUUACCCGCUCCA
rnacentral:tRNA from 1 species